UCUGUUUCUACCUGUGACCUGGAAGAUAUUCUGACAAGAAUUAAGAAAUGGGAAACCAGAAGAGUGAAGGCCCAUCUGUCAAGAUGCCGGUGAAGAAGAGCAGCGAUUCCUCAAAGAAGCCCCAGGCCACAUUGCCUUCAGUAAACGGGUGAAGUCUACCUCUGAGGGACGCCUCCUACACCGUACAAAAGCCCAGGUCACGUUACCUCCAUCUGUG